AUUGAACGCUGGCGGAAUGCUUUACACAUGCAAGUCGAACGGCAGCACGGACUUCGAUCUGGUGGCGAGUGGCGAACGGGUGAGUAUUAUAUCGGAACGUAUCCAAUAAUGGGGGAUAACUAGUCGAAAGAUUGGCUAAUACCGCAUACGCCCUACGGGGGAAAGCUGGGGAUCUUCGGACCUUGCGUUAAUGGAGCGGCCGAUAUCUGAUUAGCUAGUUGGUGGGGUAAAGGCCCACCAAGGCGACGAUCAGUAGCUGGUCUGAGAGGACGACCAGCCACACUGGAACUGAGACACGGUCCAGACUCCUACGGGAGGCAGCAGUGGGGAAUUUUGGACAAUGGGCGCAAGCCUGAUCCAGCCAUUCCGCGUGAGUGAAGAAGGCCUUCGGGUUGUAAAGCUCUUUCGCAAGGGAAGAAAACUUAGCCACUAACAUUGGCUGAGGUUGACGGUACCUUGAUAAGAAGCACCGGCUAACUACGUGCCAGCCGCCGCGGUAACAC
rnacentral:rRNA from 1 species